UAGUCCACGCCGUAAACGAUGACAACUAGCCGUCGGGGCCCUUGAGGCCUUGGUGGCGCAGCUAGCGCGAUAAGUUGUCCGCCUGGGGAGUACGGCCGCAAGGUUAAAACUCAAAUGAAUUGACGGGGGCCCGCACAAGUGGUGGAGCAUGUUGUUUAAUUCGAUGCAACGCGAAGAACCUUACCACCCCUUGACAUCCUGCGAAUUUUCUAGAGAUAGAUUAGUGCCUUCGGGAACGCAGUGACAGGUGCUGCGUGGCUGUCGUCAGCUCGUGUCGUGAGAUGUUGGGUUAAGUCCCGUAACGAGCGCAGCCCUUGUCCUUAUUUGCCAGCACAUAAUGGUGGGAACUCUAAGGAGACUGCCGGUGACAAACCGGAGGAAGGUGGGGACGACGUCAAGUCAUCAUGGCCCUUACGGGGUGGGCUACAAACGUGCUACGAUGGUAGGUACAGAGAGCAGCCACUGGGUGACCAGGAGCGAAUCUAUAAAGCCUAUCACAGUGCGGAUC
rnacentral:rRNA from 1 species